rnacentral:rRNA from 1 species
CCUACGGGAGGCAGCAGUGAGGAAUAUUGGUCAAUGGACGAGAGUCUGAACCAGCCAAGUAGCGUGAAGGAUGACUGCACUAUGGGUUGUAAACUUCUUUUAUAUGGGAAUAAAACGUUCCACGUGUGGGAUUUUGUAUGUACCAUAUGAAUAAGGAUCGGCUAACUCCGUGCCAGCAGCCGCGGUAAUACGGAGGAUCCGAGCGUUAUCCGGAUUUAUUGGGUUUAAAGGGAGCGUAGGUGGAUUGUUAAGUCAGUUGUGAAAGUUUGCGGCGCAACCGUAAAAUUGCAGUUGAAACUGGCAGUCUUGAGUACAGUAGAGGUGGGCGGAAUGCGUGGUGUAGCGGUGAAAUGCUUAGAUAUCACGAAGAACUCCGAUUGCGAAGGCAGUUCACUGGACUGCAACUGACACUGAGGCUCGAAAGUGUGGGUAUCAAACAGGAUUAGAUACCCGAGUAGUC